CUUGGCGGGAUCCAGGGGCGCCUUCGCCGGGAGGAGCCGGGAAUGACCCGGCAGCACGGCAGCGAUCCGCAGGGUGACAGUGCUGAACGGGAAAGAGAAACGAAUGCUAGGAACGAUGCCCACACAUCUCCACUGAAGAUGAAGUUCUUCUCCUCACAGAAGAAAUCCAGACUGGGCACGAGCAUCACCAAGCCCGACCCCCGGGAGGGACACCCUGCCUUGUCCUGUCUAUAGUGGGCACUCUGCCAACAGCUGUGCCCACACACUGGAGCCUGAAUGCAUUUCAAGGGCCUUUGCUAAUGAAGGCAGCGAUAAUUGUACAAAUCUAGACAUUCCAGCUAGUAACAAGGAUUUGGCAGAGGGAGAGUUCACUGCAAAAUGCGAAACACCACUGAAUUCGCUCCCCCAGUUUCCAGCAGACCUCCUUGGAGGAGCAGGGCAGAUGUUUCAAGAAGCUGCCCUGAGAGCAUGACACGCCUGCCAGGGAAUGCUCUGGGCGCAGCCCAAGCCAGCACCUCUCGCUCUCAGCUGCACACCUCGCUGCAGCAGCAGUUCUCGGGGAGAGCUAUGAAGGUGCACUGCCCACUGAAAUCCCAAGGGUAUAAGUGGCAAGCUGUUGGUGCCACAUUGUGUGAGAAUAACUGAGAUUUAUUGGUGAAAGUAACACUAUCAAGGCUCAAAACAUUUGCCUAGACACUGAGCAGAACGCUGAUAAUUUUGAAAUCCAUCUGAUGAAAUUCCUGAAACUGUGCUUAUAUAUGCUGGAAAGGACUGUGUUUGUAUGAGGAGUCUUUGUGAUCCCAUAGUCACAGACUACACCACUACAGGAUAAACAAUCACUCAAACAGCUGUGUGGUAACAAAUAGGGGAUGCAACCUCAACCAUUCCACUCCUGUCACAACCCCUGAAUUACUGCAAUCUGCAUACACAUCCCAUCAAGGUUUCCUGCCCCCUCCUAUUGGAAUAAACCAGGCACUGCUGAAAAAAUUCCUGCAGCAUGAGCCAUGUCAACUACUGGAACAUGUCUGAAGUGGUGGACACAGCUCUAAUCACUGCUCAUCAGGCAACAGGAGAAACACCAUGUCUUGGAGUGAGAGGAGAUGGAGAACACCAGUGGUAGGACAUUUUGUUCAGGUGGCCUCUAACCACAAGAGGAAUUUCAGAUCUGAUACUGCACCCUCUUCUAAUUUUGCUGAUUUUUGUCUUAUUCUGCUCCUUGUUAAAUGUUUUCCUUACUGGAGUGUGGCUAUCAGCAAACCUCCCCUCACAUAUAACAUGGUUCCAUCACAUUCAAAGAAGCCACAAAAACAUAACCUGAUCAAAAAUCUCCCUGACUUUGUAAGUGGAACAUAAUCAGAUCUGCAUUUACAGGCACAGAGGCCAGAGCUGACAGCAGAAGCUGGCUGUAGUCCCCGGGUGGACUGUGGGGGUGCAGCCCCUUUCCUGGCUGCACCAUGAUCUCAGAAAUGCUCCUUCAGCCUCGGCCUCGAGGAGCAGCCCCUGGGCUCAGCUCCUCUGGACUGAACACAAACACUGCUCCCAGGCCCUGCUCCUGCCUUCCUUAGGAGCAGCCCUGGGAACAGACUCUCUUGCCCAAACAGCACAACAUCCCCGUUGUCACACUUUCAGUGGAAGUGCGGCCAGGAUGAACCAUUGCUGUGACUGGAGCCCCUCUCGUGGGGCCCUGCAAACAGCGCUGCAAAAGGAGCCCCUUGGAGCUCUCCUGGGCCAGCGACUCCCUCUGAGUGGGGCCUCUCCCAGCCGGGAGCUCUCCCGUUUGCUGCCCUGGGGGGAGCCCCAAAAAAUGACGAGUCCUGGGCUGAUCCUCCCACUCCUCGAAGGCUGACCCGCUGGGGAGAUGCCACAGCAUCCAAAGUGAGCAUUUCCCUGCCCUCGGGGGAGUUCCUCCCAGGUACAUCACACUGACUGGCUGUGUGCACACAGAGUGCCGGUGCCCUGGCAAAGCUGGCAGAAAUGCUGCUCCCUGAGGGGCUGAGUACCUCCGGUAUCCCACUAAAUUAGGCCUGUGAGCGAGGUUAAGACAUGAGUUCUAAGCUGAGUGAAAUGCUGCCAAGUGUUGCUCUCUGCGAAGUUGCUCAGUUCGACUUUGAUUUCCUAAGUUCAGUUAAGAGCUGUUAAGUGUCAUUCCUCUGUUCAUUGUUAGGGUUAGGCUGUGAGUUAAGUAAGCUAUUCGUCAAGUGUUGUUCCUUUGUUAAAUUAUUAGGUUUAAGGUAUAACUUAAGCACUAUUAAGUCUGAGUGGUAUGAAGCUUUUAGUCCACAUUCCUUUUUAUCUUUGCCCUCAUUGUUCCUUUUGUCACAAACAAACACACCCCAUUAA